rnacentral:misc_RNA from 1 species
GUGGGAGGGGGCUUGCCCCCGAUGGCAGUGUGUCAGUCAGUUAUUUGUUAACUGGUACACCGCUAUCGGGGGCAAGCCCCCUCCCAC